rnacentral:rRNA from 1 species
AUUGAACGCUGGCGGCAGGCCUAACACAUGCAAGUCGAGCGGAGCGGCGGACGGGUGAGUAAUGCAUAGGAAUCUGCCUGGUAGAGGGGGAUAACGUCCGGAAACGGGCGCUAAUACCGCAUACUCUCAGAUGAGACUAGGUCGGUUUAGCUAGUUGGUGGGGUAAAGGCCUACCAAGGCGACGAUCCGUAAAUGGUCUGAGAGGAGGAUCAGUCACUGUGGAACUGAGACACUGUCCAGACUCCUACGGUAGUCAGCAUUGGGGAAUAUUGGCCAAUGGGCGAAAGCCUGAUCUAGCCAGGCCGCGUGUGUGAAGAAGGUCUUCGGAUUGUAAAGCACUUUAAGUUGGGAGGCGUUACCAACAGAAUAAGCACCGGCUAACUUCGUGCCAGCAGCCGCGGUAAUUC